ensembl:lncRNA
UAGGUCACAAAAUAAACUUUUAAGAUAUUUUCAGGCGAGAAUGUAGGUGUGUAAACUUCAAAUAUCUGCUUGUUUUAUCAAGACAUCCCAUAUUUAGCGACAGUGCUCUGACUACGUCGGUCCUGCCUGACAGCUAGCCGGCUACCUAGCUAGCUGCCGCACUUGGCUGCAAAUGGAUAGCGAGGGGACUCUCUGUCGUUUCACCUCCCCGGUCUCUCGCAAAUGCUCGCAUAGAAUCGGAGUUAUAGCUGGAUGUGGAAAAAAUAACUGAGUUGUUUGGUGGUGGAGCUACAACAGAGGGCAGCUACCCACCGGUGUGUGACAGAAAGGAUAUGCCGCCAACGAGACAUAUGAGGCCGGGCAGGCGAUUGCUAACGCGGUGGUCAAUCAUGGAUCAGGGAAAGUGAAGGCAGGAGCGUGAGGUGAACUGAAUUUCAGGUAAGAAGUUAUGAACUGCACUCUAUUUGGGUCAGAUAUAAACCGAGUUUAGGUGUAGUUUAUUUAGCAGCAGUUCUCUUAUGUGUUGCUGAUAGCCGGCUAGCUAGCUAGCGCCGCUAGCAUAGUUAGCUCGCGCCGCUAGCAACCCUUCGUGAAAAAGCACCCAGGCUUGGCUUAUAUUGAGGCGGGUGAAACUCGUGUCAGCACCCGGUCGCUCUCUAUUUGGGUCAGAUAUAAACCGAGUUUAGGUGUAGUUUGUUUUCAUUGUGC